AUGAGAUCUCCAGUGCUUGGACUCUGCUUCGUGAGUGAGGUACCGAUAUCCCAUACGCUGUUCAAACUCACGGAGGUCACACCAUAGCUGGAAGUUCUGCAGCAUGACAAGAGAUGCAUAAGUGCUCAAGGACAUCUGAGACUGAUAGACCAAGCUUCGGUUAGACUUUAUCCUGAUCCCAGCUGAGGCUGGAAGCAAAUUGUUAAUUUACUACUGUUUUGUGAAGCUGCUUUCUUGAAGCGCUAUAGAAAUCUACAUCUUAAACAACCAAGAUUAAAAGGCAUGAUAUGGAUUUCUUCGCCGCUAAAGGUUACAAUAACAAAUUGUAUAAAGUAGCUUGAUGACAGUGGGAGGAAGAAUGGAAUGAUGGGAGUUAUAGUCUUCAUGUCCACUGCAGAUGAAAAUCCAUCUGACGAGACUCACAAAUAAUGUUCAAUAAUGGCAUAAAUAUUGCCUAUGUUAUAACAGAGUGGUGUGGUCUACAUGGUACAACAACUACUUCUGCAUUUUUCAUAAGACUCACAGAUUGACAGUACUGCUCGGCACAUGAUUUUUAAAACCAGAAAAUAGCCACAGGUGACCCUAUGAAUGCCACAGGUGACCCUAUGAAGGAAUGCCUCGGGUUCUCAAGGACAUCUGAGACUGACAGACCAAGCUUCGGUUAGACUUUAUGCUGAUCCCAGCUCAGGCUGGAAGCAAAUUGUUCAUUAACUACUGUUUUGUGAAGCUGCUUUCGAAGAGCUAUAGAACUUGAAGUGUUUAACUACUAUUAUCUUUGAUUUUAAACAUUGUUGAUUAAACUUAGGAUAAUGAAAGUACAGACAGGGGUUUCACCGGACCUGGAGGCAAUUGUAUGUGACCGGGGAGCGGAAUUGAGCGGAGCGGUCUGGUGUGGCUUUGAGCAUUGGAGCCGGGGGAGCGAACACCUACGUGAGCAGGGAGCAGAAAUUCUCACCGCUCAGCCCCGCUAACACACUCUGCACUGUACAAGUGGUUAUUGGAUAAUUAAAGUGUAAAAAUUUCA